GGUGUUGUUACUGUGAUGGAUAACUGGUUUGGAAAAGGGAAGAAAGGUUUUAUUUUUGGCGUAUGGAAUUCUCACACAUCUGUCGGUAACAUUGUUGGGACUCUGAUAGCUAGUCGUUUUGUCGAAAAAACUGGGGACUAUCAUUCAUAGCUCCUGGUGCCUUGAUCGCUAUUGGAGGGGUCUUGGUAUUCCUGUUUCUCAUCCCGGAACCCAAGAUACUGGAUGUAAUAUUCCAACUUCUCCCAUUACCAGGAAGAAUCUCCAACCACAGGUAUUCAUCCCGAUUUUAUCUUAAAAAUAAUAAUUCAGUCAUUCGUUUUUCUUCUUGUCAUCUACAUUUUAAGUGAAGAAAAGCAGUGCAACAAGUCUUGUUAUACUCGUAGAGAAGGUAAUUAUAUAUCCCCCCCCCCACUUCAAGCUUUGCACGUUUCAAUUUCAAUUAAUCCUUCCUGUUCAUGAAGGGCUGUCUGUGACAAUAUUAAAAACUGAAUUUAAUUUUCUUUUUUCUUUUUUUUUGACAGUAAUUUGUUUUAAAUAAAAAAUCCGAUUUUUGGGCUGCGAGAUUAAAAAAAAAUUUCUGGAAAGAACAAAUUUUUGAUCAUUAAAAAAGAAAACUCCCCAAAGCAAAAAUAUUCGAGUAAUGAACACAUAUCAAGAACAAUUCUUGAGAAAAAAAUGUCAGAAAAAAAAAUUUUUCAACUUGUAAUAUCGACGCAGACGACUUUCCAUACCCACUGAUUCCUCCCUAAGAAGGUUCUUUUUCCAACUUUUUUUGAAUUUCAAGGUAAGGUGGAAGAAACUUUUCUUCUGGAGAUACUUUAUUCAAUUUACAAUUUUCUUUUAAAUUUAAUGUUUGGGCUUCUUUACAUGACUUUUUCUGAAAUAGCAACUUUCCAUUGCUGAUAAAACUUCAAGAAAAACAACAUUAGGAAAAUCAGGAAACUCUAAAAGAGCCGUUUGUGCUGUUACUUGGUGCGAAAAGUUUAUGUAAAAAAUAAACAAGGUUUUUUAGUUAGUUGAGGCAACAAUUUCGGAAAUUUCAAAUGGUUUUCCAUGGAAUGGUGUUACUUGGUGCGAAAAGUUUAUGUAAAAAAUAAACAAGGUUUUUUAGCUAGUUGAGGCACCAAUUUCAGAAAUUUCAAAUGGUUUUCCAUGGAAUGGCUCGCCCACUUUGCUUUCUAUCUCGAACUUUGUAGCAGUGCUAUCGUUAGGCUUAAUGAAUUUCCAUGCUCUGGUGCCUCUUUGUGCAUUAGCCAACUAUGGUCAUAAUGGUUUUUAGAAGGAUCAGGCUCAAGCCUAGAGGGACUCCUUGAGAAGCCAUAAAGCUAUUGAUUUUGCCAGGCGCCUGAUGGGAGAAUUAUUAUUAGUUAUUAAGAACAUACAUGGAUAGACCUACAUGGAUAGACAUACAUGGAGGAUAAAGUGCUCGACAAGGCAACAUCUGUGUAAAGUAUUGUCUCUGAUAAAUCUUCAAUGCCGUCACAGUACAGUGGCGCGGUUCAACCGCACGUAGUCAAGAAUCUAUUACAGGUGACAUCCAUUAGCCAGGGGCUACACCAGUGGCCAUUCCUCAACCAUUAGAGCUUCAACUGCACCUGUAUUCAGACCAUUAUUUUUAAUGGUUGGCCUUUAAAAUUUAAAAAAAAAAAACUAAAAAGAGUAUGGAUGGAAAGCUUCACGAUUUUAAAGGAUAAUAUGGACACUAAGCUCGAAUUUUGAGAAAAUCAGACAUUUAACUCUCUUUAAAAAGCUAAAGUGCACUCUUACCCACCUUGAAAUUUUGAAAAAAGUUGAAAAAUGCAAGAAGAGAGGAGAGGCGUGUAAUUGUUUCCAAAAUUUGCUUUUCUUCCGUAUUUUAUUAAGUUGAAGAGGAUCUCUGAAGGAGAAUGCCAAGGAAAACCCUUUAGAAAUAACUGCACCUUUCUUGUUCAUGUCUAAAUGGAUAGAAUCAACAAUUUUUAAUAUCAGUAUAACAACUAUUGUGGCUAGAGUUUACAGUUUUUCUGCAUGAUAUCAGCUGAAAUUAUCGCUUUUUGAAACACUAACGAAUGGAUUUAUUUUCGGGAGCAAAAUGAUCCCAGGAUGUUUGUUAAUUAAUGUCAUUUUAUUCGUGUGUACGUUUUCAGACUUUUAAGGGAUUCAAUGAGUUGGUGUUGUGAGAAAUUUUGUUUUCAAGACAAGGUAGGGCUUGAUUGAUGUUUGUAUUUUUCCGUGACAUCUUCCCAAACUCUCUUGUUCAAGACUGAGUAAUUAAAUGUUAGCCAAUGGGCUUCUUCACGGA
rnacentral:lncRNA from 1 species